CGGAGCCAAUGCCGAGCCCACACCUCACGGACAUCCCGCCCCCGCCGAGGUAAGCGGAACGCCCCGAGCUGGCUGCGCGCCGCUGGCGCUUCUUGGAGCCUUUGGCCAGCGAGUUCCCCCGUGGCCACUUGCAAGAAGGUGAGGACCAGAACAAAGUGUGCAAGAACCUUUAAAGACUUUAGACGUCAUCCAACCCCUUAACCAAAGACCACCCGAAAACAUCAUACAUGCGUCACAGAAAGAGGCGGUCUACAACAGAAAUUUGAGAGUAUUUCCUUCUGCAGAGGAAGUUGGAGUGCAAAGAUGACUUUUGGGGGGUUAUUCUGUGUGUGAAGUGUGUGUCUGCUAUGUGUGCACCCUAAAAUUUUUACAGCACCUCCAAUUUAGGUGAAAUUAACUCGUGUGUCUUUCUAUGUGUGCAACCUACCUGCUCCUAAAGUAGGAUAAUGUUGCACAUCUGAUGACAUGGCCUCUCAAUUAAAGUCAAGAGUCCACCUGUGAGCUCAACUGAAUUGCCUGUAGCAGGGCAUGAAAAACAAUAGCUGUUAUUAACAUUAUUAAAAUCCAAUGUUAAUUUGAAAACAAAUUGCCAACCUGCUCAUGUUACAGUAUUACAAGGGUGUCAAAUGCAAUAAUAAAAUCCUGCUAAAGCCCAACCAAUUUCCAAAUUUAAACUUAAAAUAUAUAAAAUAUAAUAUAAAAUAUAUAACCCACUCACAAUAGCUCACGGGCCUUCCGAGACAUCAUUUCUCUAACCGCCUCUAGCUGCUACAUUGUACUUGUCAGCAGAACUGUCCAUAAUCUUUAAAUUGCUAUGUAAAUAACAUUUUGGUCUCUAUGAAGUUAUAUUGUUUUCAAAUGCAGCAGUUCAAAUUUUCAUUUCCCAUACCGUGAAUGUGUCCCGUGUCAUGCAAACACCCAGCAGGCAAAUUUAGCAACAGUGGAAACAACUGCAAACUUGUAACCCCAGAUAUUAUAGCGUCUUGGGGUUUUUUUAUAUAGCUAAAGAACCUACUUUUAAGUGUGUUCAUUCAGCCCCACUGAAUUCCUUCCUGAAACAUUUAUGUAGUGCUGCCAACACUCUCUAUUCCUUCAAACCUCCACUCAAAACUCACCUUUCCACGAAACCUUUGACUCAACUGCCUUAGGGCCGAACUGUAACCACACUAUAUUAAAUGUGUGAUUGCAUUUAAUAUGUCUGUUUUGGUGCCGUUAAACAGCAGCCACGGGGAAGUCAAUGUCGGGACCACAAUGCAACGUAAUAACCAUUA